GAGCUAUCAUAUGUUUACAAAACAGUACAAAUUAAAGUUCCUCAUCUCGUAUUUAGGGCAGAGAAUCCACAAUCCUUCAUUGUCGUAUCAACCAGCAUACGCGACAGACGUGCAUACACUGUUAAUAAUAAUAAACAUUAUUAUUGUGACGUGAAGAUAAACAAAAACAAAUGAGUGUGUUGUGGUGAAACUUCAACGAUCAUUUGGAUGUAGUUGCUAAAUACACAAUGGCUAAAACAACGGUACUUAUUCUGAUGCUGUGUGCGACCAUAUUAGUAAAUGAAGCCACUAGCUAUAUACUACCAACACAAAGUAAAACAAUUGAAAACCAACUUACAGCAGGCGUCGAGAAAAACUCGACGAAAAAUGAAAUGUCAGAUGACUAUAGAAAAUACAGCUAUAUUAUAACCACGUAUUUAUAGUAUUAGUUAAUUAGUAGUAUGAGUAAGUAUUGACUAUAAACAUAAUGUGAGAAAUAAUCGUAUAUUUAUAUUUUCAAAUGAUAUAUUUUCUGACAAUGUUUUGGAAAUAAGAACUUAGUACAAUUCAUUGAAUUUUGAUGGUAUGGUGAAAAUUGUAUGGUUAGGUAUUUUAUAAUUUUAAAAAAUUACAUAAAAGUGAUGAUAUUUUUUUGCUUAUCUAAAAGUUAUAAACCGUCUAGCGAUACCUUACUUCGCUCUGAUUUACUCAACUGCGUUAGAAAUAUUCUGUUUGCCAUUCUUAGAGCCAAACACUUAUUAUAAUAUGUAUAAAAUAAACUAAUGUUCCUUCAUGUAGCAUUUAUAUUUGUAUGUAAAUAUCCUGACUGUGAGUAUUAAAAAUAGUGAUGAGAAAAUUAUACAUUUAAAUAUGACA